rnacentral:rRNA from 1 species
UGGUGGAGUGAUUUGUCUGGUUAAUUCCGUUAACGAACGAGACCUCGACCUGCUAAAUAGUUUGGCGAAUUCUUCGGGAUUCGUUUAUGACUUCUUAGAGGGACUAUCGGUGAUUUAGCCGAUGGAAGUUCGAGGCAAUAACA